rnacentral:misc_RNA from 1 species
AACGCACGAGACCUGCGGACCUGCGGAAGGAUCAUUAACGAAUAUCUAUGGCGUUGGUUGUAGCUGGCUCUUAGGAGCAUUUUGUGCACGCCCGUCAUUCAUAUCAUCUUUCCACCUGUGAACUAUGUGUAGGCCUGGAUACCCCUCGCUUUGGCAACAAAGCGGAUGCAAGGAUUGCUGCGCCGACAAGGCCAGCUCUCUUUGAAUUUCCAGGUUCUAUGUCUUUUACACACCCCAUUU